UUUGAUCCUGGCUCAGAUUGAACGCUGGCGGCAGGCCUAACACAUGCAAGUCGAACGGUAGCAGGAUGUGCUUGCACAUCGCUGACGAGUGGCGGACGGGUGAGUAAUGCUUGGGAACUUGCCUUUGCGAGGGGGAUAACAGUUGGAAACGACUGCUAAUACCGCAUAACGUCUACGGACCAAACGGGGCUUAGGCUCCGGCGCAGAGAGAGGCCCAAGUGAGAUUAGCUAGUUGGUGGGGUAAAGGCUCACCAAGGCGACGAUCUCUAGCUGUUCUGAGAGGAAGAUCAGCCACACUGGAACUGAGACACGGUCCAGACUCCUACGGGAGGCAGCAGUGGGGAAUAUUGCACAAUGGGGGAAACCCUGAUGCAGCCAUGCCGCGUGUGUGAAGAAGGCCUUCGGGUUGUAAAGCACUUUCAGUUGUGAGGAAAGGUUGGUAGUUAAUACC
rnacentral:rRNA from 1 species